rnacentral:lncRNA from 1 species
AUGAAGAUGUUUAGUGAUCAUUCUGAUCUCCAGAAAAUAGAGGAAAAUACACAGCAUUUCAACAGAAAUGCAUGUUGCAGUGACUGCAGAUUCAAAGACAUAGGUAUACCUUUGGCUUGCCUCUUACCUUCCGUUUUUAUUCAACUGAAUUGUGGAGCAGUUCCUUGGGGAUUUUUAAUAGGGUAAGGAUGUCCCGAUUAUUAUAUUUACACUGUGUUUUCAGAAAUAACGGUUCCUGCUUACACCUGCAGACUUCUCUGCUCUGGUUUUUGUUACAGACCGUAUAUCAUCACCUUUUGAUGCCGAAGCUACUCACUUGGACUGCAUAAUAAUGAAAGUAGCUCUGUACUUAGGCUGAGAAAUUUUAGACAGCACGUUUUUAUUUGGCUGGGGUGAAGGUUUUGGGGAAUUUGCAGGAUGCAAAUGAUCAUAUUUCAUAUGAAUACGUCUGAAAGUACCUCAGUCCUCUCAGCCACACUAAAAGCAUUUAACACAUAGUACCUGCGUGAGUAUAGAUGCUCUUACUGGGGAAGAAAACCAAUAGACUACCUCUGGAAGCCUCCAAACAAAAGGCUUUAGAUUGUGACUUAAAAUUAGUUUCUUUCAGAUGUCCCUCGAGUCACUAUUUAGUUGAAUUUAGACCUCUCAUUGAAGUUCUUUAAGCAACAGGAAAGAACAGGGCUAAUGUCAGGGUUGCAGCUAUGAAUGGAAUCAAUUCAUUGAAACGAACGUUGCAUAGAAGCGUGGCAUUUAUUGACAAACCUAAAUUGUCUAUAGGAACGUCCUUCAACAGCCAUGCUUUUCUCUUUCAAGGCACUUCAUAAGUAAACGUGUACAACGUAGAGGCUAUAUACCUUAAGCAGCCAUAACUUCAGUAAAUGCACUGUAUACUUUGUUCAUCUGUGAAUAGUAAUUGAGUCUUGGACUGCUUUUAUAGUGCGCAGAGAGUAAUACAACUGCCAUGAUGUAUAAUAAUGCUUAAGAGCUCCAGGGAGGCUCAUUUACAUGAUAGUGAGGGAAAUGGUCUUGCAAGGAAUAAAAAUUAAGAGGUUGGUAUUGUGCA